UUGAAUUUUCCGACCGGGCGGUUGCCAACAGAAACUUUUUUUAAUUGAAAAUCGGAUCCAUCACGCAAAAAAAUAUUCCCGUUAGAUGUACGUGAUUCAUCACUUGAAUUGGAAUUUGCCUUCCAUAUUCCUAGUUUAUCGGAUUCCGAUAAAAGCCUCUAAGUAAUUCGUAAUCUCUACGUGAUAUUCCCAUUCGAGUAACAUUUUGUCAUAUCCAUGCUACGUGAUUGGUCACGUAGAAUUUCAGUGUUGGGUGACAUAUCGAUUUUAAGUGACCUUCCUGUGUGAAAAAAUACCAAAACUCAAAAUGGCGCCGGACAAUCUUGCGGACCUGGACAUUUUUCGCAAAUUUUGGAGAUUUUCAAACAGUGCGAUAUAGGACUUAACGAGCUGUUGGCGCUGUUCCUGCAGGAUUUGGGAGUAGCUACUUGGAGCAGACGGGUACGGAGAUUCUUUUUUCGCGUAUCAAUCAGCUUGCGGAGAGAACGAAACAAAACACAGAAUGCCUACAGAAUGCACAAUGCUGCCCAACAGAAGUGCGCUUCAAAUGCCAUCGGAAGCGGUGGCAUCCGGUUUGUUACUGAAAAAAAGGAGAAGCCUUUGUAAUGAGAAUGAGAAAGUGUUUCUAUAUUUUGUUUUUUUUUUCAUAAAUCGAUCAAUAAAUCGGAAUGCUUUUAUUUAUUUA